GGUAGUGGGGGACUGCGUUCGCG
rnacentral:piRNA from 3 species